rnacentral:rRNA from 1 species
UACCCGAAUGGGGAAACCCAGUGUGAUUCGUCACACUAUCAUUAACUGAAUCCAUAGGUUAAUGAGGCGAACCGGGGGAACUGAAACAUCUAAGUACCCCGAGGAAAAGAAAUCAACCGAGAUUCCCCCAGUAGCGGCGAGCGAACGGGGAGGAGCCCAGAGCCUGAAUCAGCAUGUGUGUUAGUGGAAGCGUCUGGAAAGGCGCGCGAUACAGGGUGACAGCCCCGUACACAAAAGCGCAUGUGCUGUGAGCUCGAUGAGUAGGGCGGGACACGUGGUAUCCUGUCUGAAUAUGGGGGGACCAUCCUCCAAGGCUAAAUACUCCUGACUGACCGAUAGUGAACCAGUACCGUGAGGGAAAGGCGAAAAGAACCCCGGCGAGGGGAGUGAAAAAGAACCUGAAACCGUGUACGUACAAGCAGUGGGAGCACCCUUUGGGUGUGACUGCGUA